UUUUAGCUCUUAACCGACACAGGCUCUUCUCUAAUUGCUGGCUCAUAAAGAUAUAAUUGACUACAACCCUUUUGCAAUGUCAUCACUCCCAAAUACAAAAGCAAUUAAGUCCUGGAACAUGGAGCACCCCAUGGCACAUUCACCGCAUAGCCCUGGCUAUGGGAUGAGAACACAGACAUCCAUCUGGACGUCAUCUGCUUCCUGUGGAGUGCCCGCAUCGCGGCAAGAGGCAGGCAGGCUAAACCACCCUGCACCACACCUGCAGUAAGCGCAACUCGGAUAAACUCCUGUGAUCCUGAGAACACCUCUGUAACCCUGCAAGAGCCCCGGGAUACCUAGCUUUGAGGUGCAGAUUCUCUCAUUGCUAGUAUUAGCUGGAUAAACAUACAGGAACAAGUUUAUUUUAUUUUUGAUUCUGGAAGUAGUCCAAGUGGCAGAGCACACUCUGCCUUCACACACAGUGCGUCCCCUCCCUAAGCCCUUGCUGAUCCCAGAAAACACUUAACAGAGAACUCUGCAAAGCAUCCUGCUCACUUAGAGCUGCAGUGGUUGUCUUUAAAAAGCCAACAUGCAGGAAACACCAUCCUCUACCUGGGCUGUUCAUUAGCUCCUAGGGAUGGAUUUCUGCUCCUGCACAUGACAUACUUGGAUUUGUUGAUGUGUGCUUUACCCAGCACUGACCUCAUGCUAAAUUACACACUUUUAUUGUUUAUGUUGGGAUCUUUUCCAGUACAUGCACACCAUUUUGUUGGUAAUUAGUGGAAAAUACUGACUUCUGUGGUCCCUAAUGUGUAGCUCUCACCUGUCACACGACCUUUAUUUUGCCUUCUUGGCAGGCUGCGAGAUCUUUGCCACGGUCCUCUUGUGUUGGACAGCAGGGAACUUACAAGCUUGUGUUUAUAACUGAUAGAACAUAAAACCAAAAACAUACCAUCAACUCGAGAAACACUAUCAAAGUGGAACUUCCAUGAUUAUAAACACUUGUUAAACUCUGCUGGAAAAAAGGCAUCUCCAGCAGGAGAUCAGCGCUUGGUAGCAGCUAACAGACCUUGUUUGCCCUGCAUGCAUUGGAGAGAUUGACUAUCACCAAAGCAAAUCUAGGCUUGCUGUUUUGAGUGUUUUUUCUCUGACUCGGCUCCAACUUUGCACCUCUCAGUGACCAUCGCUACUUCUAAAUGCAGUUGAAAAAAAAAUCUUUAAAGAGAGGGGAGCAGACAUUAGUGUCAGCAGCACUCACCAUCUGCUACUGCACCAAGACAGAGGAGCUGGAUGUUGCACAGAAGAAAAUGUAAUUAUCCUAAUUACUCCUAUUUACUACAUGCUUCCUGCUAUAUGCUUUAGAAGUGGGAUUUCAACUAUCUAAUUCAGGUUUGCUUGCAGAGCAAUGGGGAACAGGUGCCUUUUGCUCAGGUAAGUCGAGGGCUCCCCUGGCUCCCUGCGGCUGCCAAAGGACACAGGGUGCCACCACCACAGCCAGAGCCACAGAGGCAGAGCCGUGCCCUUCUCCAGCCGUGCCUGGAUCAGCUACUUCUGGGAGCUUUGAGAAAAGGAUGUUUUUGCCCCGGCUGAGAGCCGAUUGCAGUGACAGGGCAUUGCAAAGAGCCAGCCAGAGCCCCUGCGAGGUACCCUGGGAGAGAAGGCAGGAGGGACGGUGUGAGGGUUGGGGUACGCAGGGCCACGAGGCAACACAGGAGUGAGGAAAUGCAUCGCAUGCUGUUGAGGCAGCGGGGGGAAGUGCAGUACGUUUAGGAGUUGGCUUGGAACAAGGUAGCAGUGAACAUAUGUGGAUGCUGGAGUCUGCAAGGCAGAUGUGGCUGGGAAGCAUAUGGGCCAUUCAUUGCUCUUGGGCUGGGGCGGGGCAAGGUUGUGGUUGGAGGCAUACAGUUUUCCAGCUGUGUCAGUUCAUUGUGAUAAAUAAAGUGAUAAUGUUUACUAAUUAAUACAGGAGUUAUAGCAGCAAGUCACUUUUAAUCCUACAGAUUUAAAAUAAAAAAGAGACGAUGCUUGAGAUUCUCUCAAAACCUGCCCCAGCUCUGCCCCUCCAGCAGCCCCCCCCAGCCCAGAGCAGCACUCCCCACAUGCUUACCUGCGCGCGUCCCCAGCUUCACCCCUCCCUUCCUGGGAGCCUUCAUUCCCCACUUCCAGGGGAGCUGUGGGAGAGCUGCCAUCCCCUCUUCUCACCAAGCACAUAAGGAAAGGGGUGGGAUAUAGGGAGGCACCUUACUGCUGAUAGGAAGGGAGCACAGCUGGUUGAGAUUGCUAGGGGAUUAUUCUUCCUCCUCCUCCUCACCAUGGUGUUUGCAGGGCAGGUCAAAGCACUUGCACCAGACCCAAACACUUUAAGUGCAAAGCAAUGUGGCAAUGUAUUUGCAUUUGAAAUUCAGUGGUGUGUGUAUCUCCUCUGGGCAGCUACAACUGCGUAAUGGUAAACUGCAAUGAAUUAGUAGAUGGCUUGACAAUACUUUUUUGGUUUAAGAGUUCUGAAGCAUUUUUGAGAGGCAUCUUGGACAAUGCAGAAAGAAAUUUUCAAACUAAAGAGGAAUUUGUGGGAACCUUAGCAAAGUGUCAGGCUCCAACGUAUUUAGAUGAGAAUGGUCUUGUCAAAACCCAUAAAACCCUAACUCAAUUUUUUUUAAGUCACAGGUUGUUCAGGGUUAAAGUGCCAAUGCAAAAAAUGAAACAAAUUAUUUUUUAAACAUGUUUUUUAAGUAAAAAUAAAUAGCUUAAUGUUAGAGUUCUAAAAGCAAAAUUUAAUAAAUUAAUAUAUGCAUGCCUGAUAAAAAUACAAAAUUACAAUUGAAAUAGCAAUAAUAAUAAUAAAGGAACACUGUUCAGCAUUGCAGAUUUCACUGCAACCACCAAAAACAUCAUGGAGAAUUACUUAAAGUAACAUUUAAAGUACACAUUUUGUUUCUGUUAAAAACAAAUUACUAUAUGAUGAAAAAAUUGAAAGAAAUCCAAGAAGAAAUUGGCCCCAAAAGUGGCAGAGAACGAUAUGAAAUGUCAAUAAACUGCCAGAGGCUCCAUUUCACAUAAGUCGGCCUUCUUUUUAGUAUCAGAAACCAAUUACAUAGAACAUAAAAGCAAAUUCACAACAGGUUUACACGGAGAAACAUGCUGAAUUACAAUCACAAACUAUCCAGAACAAAGAUGCUGCACCAGUUCAGUUGUUUUCUUCAUGGAAUGAGUCUCACCAGAACAGGGAGAACAGGGAGCAAAUCAUGCAAUAGCUUUAGGCUUUUUGUUUUUUAUUUUAACAUGAUAAACACCCAGAAUUACUAGUACUGGAAAGUAUGUGUUAACCUUUUUCAA